rnacentral:misc_RNA from 1 species
UAUCAAACCAGGUAGCAUUCCUCACGGACAUCGGGCCGCAAGACGUUUCCCGUCAGUGCGGCACCGAACGUCGUUCGAACGUGGCGUUUCAAGCCAAUUCGUGGGCAAACAGGGGCCGAUGACCCCAUACCCGCUGCGUUUUCUGCAUCCCGGGGGUCGAGCGAUAAUCCGUGGGCCGUGACGACCACGCUGCGCGUGGGCGUUGCGGAGCACGGAUCUCGCUUUGGGGUUCACCCGUAGCCGCACCGUGCGAACGGGCAGCGCUAGGCGAACUUGGAAACGAUUUGCCGACACAAUUCCGUCUAUUUAGGUAUGCAACACAGGAAACCGACAAACGCAGCCAAGGCUACUCGCUCUUGUGCCAACAAAUGAAACGGAACGCACGGGAGGACGUCGCUGCCCGAGCAGGGAUCCAGCAAACCCCAUACAAGA